GCGGGAGUAGUACAAUGGUUAGUAUUCUAGCCUUCCAAGCUGGACAUGCGGGUUCGAUUCCCGUCUCCCGCU
rnacentral:tRNA from 1 species